CCUAAAUCUCCAAUCGCUGUUCUUAUUGACAGUGGUGAUCAUUUUAAUUAUUACUACUUGUACGAUUCUAAAUUAAUAGUCCAACAAAUGGCAAGUCCAAUUUGAUGAUUUGCAAACUAUCUAUUGAACCGAUGCUGGCUUUUGAACUUUGCGCUGAUAACAAUCCAGAUGGUCCUUUUCUCUUUGGCACAGAUGACACGACGCCAAUGAUUUACCUCCAAAAUCUGAAAGGAGGACUCGUCAGACCACAGUACACUGUUCCAUUUUGAGUCAGUACAUCUCAGUGCCACCUGAGGGAUCAAAGAUCACGGGCACUCAAUGUUUUUGGCCUUGCCGCUUACAUGCAGAGAUUUCUCCAGAUUCUCUGAAUCUUUUGAUGAAAUGAAGGACCGUAGAUGAUAAAAUUCCUGUGAUUGACUGGCUACCAGUUCAGCAUGUACCCCACCUCUCACCUGGAGUCAGCUGAAAUAGGCGCCAGCACGCCUCACCUCAUCUUUGCUUGUGAACAACUGAGCCUUUCGGGGGUGCUCCUUUUCUACUCAAUAAUGACAUUCACUUGUUUCCAAUGAACCUGUUCACCUGUAGGAUGUUCUAAACAGGUGUUUUUUUGUUGUCGUUUUUUUAGCGUUCCUCAACUUUCCCAGUCUUUUCUUGCCCCUCUCCCAGCUUUUUUGGAACGUGUUGUAGGCAUCAAAUUUUAAAUGAGUGAAUAUUUGCAAAAAAAUAAAAACUGUUCUUCAGCUUGAGCAUUAAAUACAUUGUCUUUGUAGUGUGUUCAAUUCAAUAUGAGUUGAAAAGGAUUUGCAAAUUCAUUGUAUUCUGAUUUUAUUGACGUUUUACACAACUUCCCAACUUCAUCAGAAUUGGGGUUUGUAAAU